UACAGUGAUGAAGUUAUUCUUCUCAUUGGUCCCAUACCAUCUAUUUACUGGGUGUCAAGCUUCUCCUCUCCUAUCCCCUGGUCAGGUGUAUCCAAGGAUUCUUCAGAUUCCUCAUCCAUUCCUGGUAGUUUAAGAACAUUUAACAGCUUCAUAACCUUGAUUUCAAAGUCUCUGUCUAGAUGUGCCAUAUCUCUUUUCUCCUGUGACAAAGGAUCAACCUCAUAAUCUACCGGUUCCUCUUCAUCCUCAAUUUUCCCGUCCUCAAUCUUCUUGUCCUCAGAUGUAUAACUCUGCUGCAUCUGAGACAAAGUAACAUCCUCUUGUGUCUGUGACUCCAUCUGAUCUCCCUCUUCCAUUUGCUCAUCCUGUUCAGUCAGCUUCCAAGCGAUCAAAUAUUGCCGGCGCUACUCCUAUAUUGUUCUUUGCUGAAUUUAGCAAUGAUGAUGAGGAAGAGGAAUCAUUAUGUUUCUCUGUUUCUUCUACUUCAAUUGACUCUGUGCGCUGCUUUGACUGUGUGUACCAGGGAAUAAAGAUUGUGCAUCCAUGUGAUGAAGUGUAUCAUGGGAGUGGCGAGGAUUUCAACGUAAUGGCUCUUGCAAAACACAGCAUUAGCAAUGAUUGCUCAGUAGCGCCCGCCAGUUUCAUGUCGACACGGUGUGCGUAUUAGAUGAGGACUGGAUCUAUUUUGAUUCGAAGCUAGACGCCAAGAUUGCUGAGAGGAACCCGAUGGAUGACGGUGCCUUUAGGAUAUUGAGGUGGAAUGGCAGAAUCUUCUGAAUCAAGCUGCUGGAUGAACCCUACAGAUCACCAUCAGAAUCUUCAGAAUGCACUGUUUGUGAAUCGGUAGCUCCAUAUUUCUGUGAUAGUGCGCCUUAGAUUGAGAGACUAAGGUUGAUGCAUGAUAUGUGCUUUUUGUUAGUAAGAUGUACGUGCGGCCACAGUUUUUCUGACAAACUUGUUGCGCAUGGAUCAGUAGCCAGGCGCUCCAAACAUUAUCGGGAGUGCAUUGCCUCCACAGCUAUCUAGUCAAUUUUAAGCAUUUUGUAUAGCAGGACACCUUUGGUGCGAGAUAUUUGCACCUGGGAGUUAUUUGUGCAUCCUUUGCGAGAUUAGCCAAAUAAAAUCAAACCUAGGCCGCACGAAUUUGUCUCGUAACAGCAAAAAGUCAUAAGAGGAAGAGAUUGUUGUCAGAAAUAUGCCCCGAAGGUAAGUAUAGAGAUGAUCAUAUUUCAUUGUAUCUAUAAUGUACCAUGUGUUCAUUGAAUAUCCAUGAAAGGCAACUUGUAUUGAUAGGCAAUUAUGUGAA